rnacentral:tRNA from 1 species
GGGCCUUUGGCCGAGAGGCGAGGCAGCGGACUUUUAAUCCGCGCGACGCAGGUUCGAUUCCUGCAGGGCCCACCA